GAUCGAACGCUGGCGGCGUGGCUAAAACAUGCAAGUCGAACGCGAACGUCCCUUCGGGGAACAAGUAGAGUGGCGAAAGGGCGAGGAAUACAUGGGUAACGUGCCUCGAGCACGAGGACAGCCGGGGGAAACUCCGGUUAAUACUCGAUAAGACCACAGCACCGCAGGGUGCAGGGGUCAAAGGGUGGGGACCUUCGGGCCUGCCGGCUCGAGAGCGGCCCAUGUCCUAUCAGCUUGUUGGUGGGGUAACGGCCUACCAAUGCUACGACGGGUACCGGGACUGAGAGGUUGACCCGGCGCAUCGGGACUGAGACACUGCCCGGACUCCUACGGGAGGCUGCAGUAACGAAUAUUGGGCAAUGGGCGAAAGCCUGUCCCAGCGACGCCGCGUGUGGGAAGAAUGCCUUCGGGUUGUAAACCACUGUCAGGGAUUACCAACCAACCGGUGUGAAUAGCGCCGGGAGUUGAGGAGUCCCAGAGGAAGUCACGGCUAACUUCGUGCCAGCAGCCGCGGUAAUACGAAGGUGGCUAGCGUUGUUCGGAAUCACUGGGCUUAAAGAGCACGUAGGCGGAUGAUCAAGCGUCUUGUGAAAGCCCUCGGCUCAACCGGGGAAUUGCUUGGCGAACUGAUCAUCUUGAGGCAGGUAGGGGCGAGUGGAACUCUUGGUGGAGCGGUGGAACGCUUAGAUAUCAAGAGGAACGCCAGAGGCGAAGGCGACUCGCUGGGCCUGACCUGACGCUGAGGUGCGAAAGCCAGGGGAGCGAACGGGAUUAGAUACCCCGGUAGUCCUGGCCCUAAACGAUGUCCACUAGGUCGGUGAGGU
rnacentral:rRNA from 1 species